rnacentral:rRNA from 1 species
GACGAACGCUGGCGGCGUGCUUAACACAUGCAAGUCGAACGAGAGGAGAAGGAAGCUUGCUUCUUUCAAAUCUAGUGGCAAACGGGUGAGUAACACGUAAACAACCUGCCUUCAGGAUGGGGACAACAGACGGAAACGACUGCUAAUACCGAAUACGUUCCUUAGGUCGCAUGACUUUAGGAAGAAAGGGUGGCUCUUCGGAGCUUUCGCUGAAGGAGGGGCUUGCGUCUGAUUAGCUAGUUGGAGGGGUAACGGGCCCACCAAGGCGACGAUCAGUAGCCGGUCUGAGAGGAUGAACGGCCACAUUGGGACUGAGACACGGCCCAGACUCCUACGGAGGCAGCAGUGGGGAAUCUUCCGCAAUGGACGAAAGUCUGACGGAGCAACGCCGCGUGAACGAUGACGGCCU